rnacentral:lncRNA from 1 species
UCUCCAGAGGCAGAUGCCAACAUCUGGGCCUGCAGACGAGGCCAGACAUCAGGGUGGGAACGUGGCCCACAAUGACUCAGCUCUCCAGGGG